AGCUCCAAUAGCGUAUAUUAAAAUUGUUGCAGUUAAAAAGCUCGUAGUUGGAUUUCAGGAUGGAGUAUUGGGUGGGCCCUCUAGGGCUCAACUCAAUGAAUCCACCUCGUAAGUCGGUAAGUUGCACUGAUCGCUCUUCAUUGAGUGUCAGUGUGCACGACAUGUUUACUUUGAAAAAAUUAGAGUGCUCAAAGCAGACCAUUUAUGAGUCUGAAUAGUGGUGCAUGGAAUAAUAGAAAAGGACUCUGGUACUAUUUUGUUGGUUUUCAGUAUUACACCAGAGUAAUGAUUAAAAGGAGUAGAACGGGGGCAGAAGUAUGGCCACGAUAGAGGUGAAAUUCUUGGACCGUGGCCAGACUAACUACUGCGAAAGCAUUUGCCAAGGAUGCUUUCAUUAAUC
rnacentral:rRNA from 1 species